CACGCCGUCUUCCUACAGGUUUCCCUCCACACACCACCACCACGCCGCCUUCCUACAGGUUUCCCCCCACACACCACCACCACACCUCCUUCCUACAGGUUUCCUCCCCCACACCACCACACUGCCUUCCUACAGGCUCCCCUGCACACACUCACCAUCACACCGCCUUCCUACAGGUUUCCCUCCACACACCACCACGCCGCCUUCCUACAGGUUUCCCUGAAUACACCACCACACCGCCUUCCUACAGGUUUCCCUGCACACACUCACUACCACGUCACCUUCCUACAGGUUUCCCUGCACACACUCACCACCACACCGCCUUCUUUCUACAGGCUCCCCUGCA